CCUACGGGAGGCAGCAGUAAGGAAUAUUGGACAAUGCUCGCAAGAGUGAUCCAGCCAUGCCGCGUGCAGGAAGAAUGCCCUAUGGGUAGUAAACUGCUUUUGAACUAGAGAAAAUCCCAGUACGUGUACUGGGCUGAUAGUAUAGUUAGAAUAAGCAUCGGCUAACUUCGUGCCAGCAGCCGCGGUAAGACGAAGGAUGCAAGCGUUAUCCGGAUUCAUUGGGUUUAAAGGGAGCGUAGGUGGACUGAUAAGUCAGUGGUGAAAUCUCCGAGCUUAACUCGGAAAUUGCCAUUGAUACUGUUGGUCUUGAGUACAGUUGCUGUGGGCGGAAUAUGACAUGUAGUGGUGAAAUACAUAGAGAUGUCAUAGAACACCGAUUGCGAAGGCAGCUCACAAAGCUGUAACUGACACUGAGGCUCGAAAGUGCGGGGAUCAAACAGGAUUAGAUACCCUGGUAGUCCGCACCGUAAACGAUGAUUACUCGCUGCUAGGGGGCAACCUUUAGUGGCUUAGCGAAAGCGAUAAGUAAUCCACCUGGGGAGUACGCCGGCGACGGUGAAACUCAAAUUGAAUUGACGGCUUGGAGGAGNGCGACGGACGACAGAGGGAGGAGG
rnacentral:rRNA from 1 species